UAAAAAUAUUUAACGAUAUGGCCACUCUGUGAGUGGCUAUAUCAUUGACAGUUGUGUCUGCUGAUUUUGCAUUGUGGUAGAUAAAUUUUGUAUUUUUCGGUCUUUAAAGACCAGAAAAAUUUUAAAAACUAUUAAAAAACAAACGACGCAUUUAUGAAAUAUUUUCAUGGCAGUACUUUACCUACUCAUCACACCUUUACAAAAACAAACAGAAAAGGGCCUCAAGUGCAAUUAACUCUCCAUAAGAAAAAUCACAAAAUUAAAGCAAGAAAACGCCAAAAAUAAAAAAACGCCGAACACGUUAUACAAACAAAAAAAAUAAUAAUAAAAAUAAUCAAGUGUAAAUAAAUCCUGUAUUAAAAAAUAAAUUAUUACGUGAAUUGAACAUGUUUAAUAUAAAUAACAUAAUUUUCAUAUUUUUUUUGCGUUAAAUUUUAACUUAUAAAAAUUAAAUAAUAUACUCAACAUUAUAUAAAGUGUGGUCAGCCGUUUUAACGCUAACAUUGUGUAUAUAAAUAAAAAAAAGAAAAUAAAUGUCUACUUUUUAAAAUCCUUAAAGCAAAAUAAAAAAAUAAAUAAAAUAAUUACUCUUCAUUAUACUAACAACAAUACUACUAAAAAGAACUACAACAACAUAAAUAGAAAAACAAACGACCAAUUUGACACAUCGUACUCUAAAUAAUCAGUACAACAAGUGUAAAAAAAAAACAAACACAAAAAGACAAACAAACAAAAUUACAGCAACAACAAAACAAGUGAAGAAAAAAAAACUAAUAAAAAAGUGUUUUUUUUUUAGAAGAAAGUGCUUGUGUUUUUGAAAAAAGAAUUAAAUAAACUUCAUUAUUUUCUUUUUAAUAUUUAAUAAAUGCAUUUAAUUUUUAUCCUAUAGUUUAUUAAAGAAUAUAUUUAAAAAAAUAAAAGAAAUUUUCUAAACACUUUCAUGCAAAUGUCACUUAACAAAUGAAUGAUUGUAGUAGCAGUUAUGGGUUUAACAAUUCACAGUGAAUGACAGUAAACCUUUAAUAGUGAAAAAUAAACAAAAACUUAAAAACAAAAACAAAACAACGUUAUCUAUUUUAUUAUUUUCUUCUUCGCUCUUCUUUUUUUCGAAUAUUUUUUUUUUUGUUGCUGAAACCAUUUCUCAUCAUAAAUAUAGACGUCGUCGUUAACGUUAUCGUUGAUUUUUUGCUGUGGUCGUUGUAAACGAAAUGCAACGACGUGAACCACGACAAUCAGGUUAUGCCACAUCUAUAUGUGUUGGAGUAUAACCGCUCCAUUAAGUUGUCAUUGUGCCUGGAACACCAUUUAUAACCAAUACACUCAGCCCAGUUUACAAGAAGCGUUAUCAGAAAAUCUUACAAAAGGAUAUCAUCAUAGUUGAGUAUGUAUAUUAUUUUUUAAAAA
rnacentral:lncRNA from 1 species